CCAUUAUAUAUCUUUACGUGAAACCGACAGAACACUCAUUACACUUUUUGUGAGCUCAUUUACUUCACUUAUAAUGAACAUGGCCAUGGAAAUGCUAGUGGAGAAAGUGGUCGAUUUUCUGAUGGAUGUGAUAAAAAAAUGGUUUGCCGACCAAUUAAUGACAUAUGUCUCAAAACUAGUAACGAGACCCUUAAUCGCUGGGUUGAAGUUUCUAAUCAAGAAGAUGCUCAUCUAUGUAUUCAACAAAGCAGCUUCCCUUGCUUCUGAAAUGCUUCCAAACAACAUCUCAUAUUUCCUGAAGAAGAUAAUGCCUGGACAAGCAGCACAAGUCAUUCAGGAGGAAGAGGGUAAUCUGGAAGAGUUUCCUGACCUACUCUGCUGCUGUGAUUAAACAACCACCAGGAAAUUUUGAUGACACUGUUCUCCUGAGCUCCUCCCUUUCCUCGGGGAAGAAAAGCAUUGAAACUACAAAAAUAAAGUGUUAUUUGGCUGGAGUGAGGUCUCAUGUCUGCUUAUGCGGUGGCUCGCUGCUCAGAACAGGAUGGAGUCUUGCUCUGCCGCCCAGACUGGAGUGCAAUGGCGCAAUCUCGGCUCACUGCAACAUUUGCCUCCCAGGAACCAUUGGAGAUACUCAUUACUCUUUGAAGGCUUACAGUGGAAUGAAUUCAAAUACGACUUAUUUGAGGAAUUGAAGUUGACUUUAUGGAGCUGAUAAGAAUCUUCUUGGAGAAAAAAAGACUGGGUAUAUUUUCAAUAUGCUUUCCUUUUAAGGUCCCUCACCUGUGGAAAGUAAAGAAUGUCACUUUCUGACAGGCUCAGGAACCUCAAGUUAUGUAGGGAUCUCAAGAAGAUGGGGGAAUUCACCCAGUUCAUACAGGUGAAAUUGCUGUUGCAAAGAUUAUGAAUAUGAGAGAAGUCCAGCAUGGCUGACUUCAUCUCGUGUCUGGCCUCAGGCUGGCUGCCCUUGCUCACUCUUGGGCAUAGGCCAAGCUAGCCAUGGGAGGAAUUUAGUUUAUAGUUUAACUUUGAAGCACGGAUGAUAAUAGUCUCUCCCUAAAAUGAACCCCUUCCUUGCUCAGGGACUGAAACUACCUUUGUAUGACAAAUGAAAGCCCACAAGAUUAAGAUUAUGAGAGGGGCCUGAAUUCUGCUAAAAUGCAGGUGUAGCUGACUGAUAACAAGUCAUUGUCCCACAGCUUGCCUUUCUAUAAUCUCUUGCUUCUCAGGAGUCACAUGGCCAGAGGUCCUGAGAUUUCCAGUCCUGUGACCCCCACCCAGAGAUGGACUUAGUGCAUGAGGACCAUUUUCCACACCCCUAUGAUUUCAUCCUCAAACAAUCAGCAGCAACCAUUCCCUAGCCCCCUGCCUUCCAAAUUAUCCAUAAAAAUCCUAGCCUCUGAGUUAUUAGGGAGAUUGAUUAAUAAUCCCAGUCCUACCCCUUGGGUUGCUCUGAUUUAAUUAAACCUUCUCUACUGCAAUACCACGGACUCAGUAAAUUGGUUUUGUCUGUGCAAUGGGCAAGAAGAACAUGUUGCAUGGUUAUACAGGUACUACAAGCACAGUCUGAUGGCAAAUUAUUGGUUUUGCUUCCUGCCCUUGAUGUUUCUAAACAUCUAGUCCAAAAUUACUUGUGAAAGGUCCAGCAAAGCCAAUUUUAAAAGAGGCUAUAUGGCCAAUCACUAUUCUUUCUACACAUUAUUGCAAAUAAUCAGGCCACGGCUGGGCACGGUGGCUCAUGCCUGCAAUCCCAGCACUUUGGGAGGCUGAGGCAGGAUCACCUGAAAUCAGGAGUUCAAGACCAGCCUAGGCAACAUGAUAAAACCCUGUCUCUACUAAAAAUACAAAAUUAGCCAGGCAUGGUGGCAUGCACCUGUAAUCCCAGCUACUUGGGAGACUGAGGGAGGAGAAUCACUUGAACCUGGGAGGCAGAGAUUGCAGUGAGCUGAGAUCACACCACUGCACUCCAGCCUGGGCAAUAGAGUGAGACUUUGUCUCAAAUAAUAAUAAUAAUAAUCAGACCAAGUAUAAUGAAAUUAAAAUUUAUUUUGCAAAUAAAUUGGUCCUACUACAAUUUAUCCUUCAUAGAAAUGUGGAAACUGAAGAUAAAAAAAAUUAGGUUUCAGAAGAAAACUAUACUACACCUGUUAUUAGAUUCUAGCCCUAAACAUUGUUUUUGAGGUUUUUAUUAUUUACCUGCAAUUUGGUCUAAAUUCUGAAUUAUUUCCUGACUACAAGUAUCCAAGGAAUAAAUGGGUUUUCUUUUUCUUUAUGAUAGUUUUAGUUGGCUUCUAAUGCAACAACAAUUUUUAUUGUAAUCCUGUGUGCAUUCUAUUCCUACUAUUCAAAUUAUUAAUGUUAUAGAUCUUUCAUUGUAGUACUUCUGAAUUAACCAAAAUCACAGUAUUCUGAAGAUGAUUCUACAAAGCCUGCUGUUUCUACAAAGGCUGCUGAUGAUUUCUACAAAGCCUGCUGUAGUGUUGCUGUGGCCUCUGCUUAAAAAAGUAGAAAACACAUUGAUGCAGCAUGUUCACCCCAACCUCCCUGCCUAAAGGCUCAGGGACCAUCUUGGAAGAGGAAGGCGCGUGAGAUUGUAAGAGCCGAAUUAGGGGGAUGGAGUGUGGAGAAUAAGGACACUUCAUCUUGGAUGCUCACCUGCCAAAUUGACUUCUGAUGAAAGCCAGCUCCAGAAAUGUGCCUACAGUUACUACUUUCACCUAAACCCUGCCCUUAGUCAAAUCCUUCUCUUCUUCUAAGCAAUCAACUUCAAUUCCUUGUAUAACCCACAGUAUAAAAGGGCUUUUAUACCAUUCUAUCCUAUUGCAUGUAAGCCUUGGGUCUGGGAGGUAACAGUGUGGGAUUCCACCAUCUCAUCUCCCUGCCACCCAAACAUGCCUGCUCUUCUUUAAGCAAUAUUAAAUGUUUGUACUUCAGAAAUUUGAUUUGUCAGCCUCUUCUUCAGACUCUCAGCUUCUUUGGCCUUUGGGAGUAAAUUUGCAUAGGCCUGCUCAAAACAGGAUGUUCUGGGGGUUUGGGGGUGUUGUUUUGUUUUGUUUUUUGUUUUGUUUAGAGACAGGGUCUCACUCUGUCACCCAGGUUGGAGUGCAGUGGUGCAAUCAUGGCACACUGCAGCCUCAAACUCCUAGGCUCAAGCAAUCCCCCCACCUUGGCCUCCCAAAGUUCUGGGAUUACAAGCAUAAGCCACCAUGCCCAGCCCUGGACUUUUCUUUAAAGACAUUUACACAGUGUAGGAAUUACUGUGGGUGCACUGCUCAGGUCCCCUUCUCCAGGAUGCUCAUUCCUACCUCAUAGAUGAUUUUCCUGCAGAGAUUUGACCUCAGCUGAAGGGCAGUCACCUGGUCCAGGUGGUUGCUAUUCACCUCCUUCCUGAGAACAGCCAACAGCCAGGGACACGCUAGCACAGAGAUAUAAGAGCGACCAAGGUGAGGCCCCUUCUGUGCUGCGGUGCAUGCUCCAGAGCCUCCCUGGGAUCAGACUUAAGAGGGUCUCCAGCCAGAUCUGGUCUUCGCUGCUUUCCUCGAGCUCCCCAGCGCACUCCUGCAAUGCAUCUUUUUUUUUUUUUUUUUUUUUUUUGAGACGGAGUUUCACUCUUGUUGCCCAGGCUGGAAUGCAAUGGCGCAAUCUCAGCUCACCACAACCUCUGCCUCGCGGGUUCAAGUGAUUCUCCUUCCUCAGCCUCCCAAGUACCUGGGAUUACAGGCAUGCACCACCACGCCCAGCUAAUUUUGUAUUUUUAGUAGAAACGGGUUUCUCCAUGUUGGUCAGGCUGGUUUCGAACUCCUGACCUCAGUUGAUCCUCCUGCCUCAGCCUUCCAAAGUGCUGGGAUUACAGGUGUGAGCCACUGUGCCUGGCCCAAUGCACCUCUUGAAUCACCUCCUCAUGCUUUGCUUUUAGAGAACAUGAUCCCCAACAUGUGAUUCCAGCAAAGAUUCUAGAAAGCCAACCGUGACAAUCACUUCUGGGUUUAGAUGACCCCCCCCCACCACAAGAUGGCAGUGAGCACCUCAUCACAGAGGUGCUGAUGGUCUGCAGCACCGCGCCAGGCCAGAACGUGCCUUUUACAGAAGAAAAUAACCCAGUAGCUGACUAGGAUGGUGAGGAGGGCUGGUGAGCACUGCGGUAGUGAGAGGGACACUAGCAUCACUGAGAUGCAAGUGAUGGUCAUUUUUCAUAGGUCAAAGCUCAAAGCAGGGGACAGUUACAGGGCAGGGCUUCAUAGCACCAGUGUGAUGAAAGUAUCUGGGAGUGGCUAAGGCCAGCACUAUGCCAUGGGAAGCAAGGUGGGCCUGAGGAGGAGGCAGCAGCGUCAGCCUGCAACAAGUGGGGGCUGCCCUGCAGAGACCUAAGAGUCAUGUUAUAGAGCACAGUGUCUGUAAGGCCAAGAAGUGUGGACAGCCAAGUGUGUCAAUUACUAGACAUACUCAAGAGGAGCAGGAAGGGCAGGGCAUGGUGGCUCAUGCCUGUAAUCCCAGCUACUUGGGAGACUGAGGAAGGAGAAUCGCUUGAACCCGGGAGGUGAAAAUUGCAAUGAGCCGAGAUUUCGCCACUGCACUCCAGCCUGUGUGAUGGGAGCGGGACUCCAUCUCAAAACA
rnacentral:lncRNA from 1 species